rnacentral:rRNA from 1 species
GACGAACGCUGGCGGCGUGCUUAACACAUGCAAGUCGAGCGGUAAGGCCCUUCGGGUACACGAGCGGCGAACGGGUGAGUAACACGUGGGUGACCUGCCCUCCACUUCGGGAUAAGCCUGGGAAACUGGGUCUAAUACCGGAUAGGACCUCUGGAUGCAUGUCUGGGGGUGGAAAGUUUUGGUCGGUGGGGAUGGGCCCGCGGUCUAUCAGCUUGUUGGUGGGGUGAUGGCCUACCAAGGCGACGACGGAUAGCCGGCCUGAGAGGGUGAUCGGCCACACUGGGACUGAGACACGGCCCAGACUCCUACGGGAGGCAGCAGGUGGGGAAUCUUGCGCAAUGGGCGGAAGCCUGACGCAGCAACGCCGCGUGGGGAUGAC